UGGGGAAUUUUGGACAAUGGGCGAAAGCCUGAUCCAGCCAUGCCGCGUGAGUGAAGAAGGCCUUCGGGUUGUAAAGCUCUUUUAGUCGGAAAGAAAGAGUUGCAAUGAAUAAUUGUGAUUUAUGACGGUACCGACAGAAAAAGCACCGGCUAACUACGUGCCAGCAGCCGCGGUAAUACGUAGGGUGCGAGCGUUAAUCGGAAUUACUGGGCGUAAAGGGUGCGCAGGUGGUCUUGCAAGUCAGAUGUGAAAGCCCCGGGCUUAACCUGGGAAUUGCGUUUGAAACUACAAGACUAGAGUGCAGCAGAGGGGAGUGGAAUUCCAUGUGUAGCAGUGAAAUGCGUAGAGAUGUGGAAGAACACCGAUGGCGAAGGCAGCUCCCUGGGUUGACACUGACGCUCAUGCACGAAAGCGUGGGGAGCAAACA
rnacentral:rRNA from 1 species